rnacentral:rRNA from 12 species
GAGUGCAAAUUCCCAAUAACACCUACUCUUGGAAGCUAAGUGGGGCUGUCCCUGGUUAGUACCUAGAUGGGAGAACAACUUGAAAAACCAGGGGUUGCUAUCC